UACGGAGGGUGCGAGCGUUGUCCGGAUUCAUUGGGUUUAAAGGGUGCGUAGGCGGGUCUUUAAGUCAGUGGUGAAAGCCCACAGCUCAACUGUGGAACUGCCAUUGAUACUGGGGAACUUGAGUUCAGUUGAGGUAGGCGGAAUUUAUGGUGUAGCGGUGAAAUGCAUAGAUACCAUAAGGAACACCGAUUGCGAAGGCAACUUACUGGGCUUGGACUGACGCUGAGGCACGAAAGCGUGGGGAGCGAACAGG
rnacentral:misc_RNA from 1 species